UCCCCAUACUUGAACAUCCUUGUACCCCAAUAUUUGUGAUGCCCACGUUUACCAGUGUGAAAGUAGCAAUCAUUUGACCCAUCGAAAAGUGAGAGUCCAACCAUCUCAUCAGCAGCUGAGUAGGAAUGGACAAUGUCCAAGAACACUAGUAAUUCUAAUCCAUGUGCUUCAUCAACCAAGCGUUUGAAGUCAUCAGGAGUGC
rnacentral:misc_RNA from 1 species